UACGUAGGGUGCGAGCGUUAAUCGGAAUUACUGGGCGUAAAGCGUGCGCAGGCGGUUCGUUAAGUCAGCUGUGAAAGCCCCGGGCUUAACCUGGGAAUUGCGGUUGAAACUGGCGAACUAGAAUCUGGCAGAGGGGGGUGGAAUUCCACGUGUAGCAGUGAAAUGCGUAGGGAUGUGGAGGAACACCGAUGGCGAAGGCAGCCCCCUGGGCUGAGAUUGACGCUCAGGCACGAAAGCGUGGGGAGCAAACAGG
rnacentral:rRNA from 1 species